CGGCGGCAGCAAGCAUUGAAAUACUUCGGUUCCAGCUUAACGGCAAGUAGUCGGCAAGAAACACUCAGCGAGCUAGCAACGCAAGCCGGAGAGUACGCGCAAGUGGCCGACAUGGAAGGAUCGUCAUUAAUAGCAAUGCACCCGCACCCCCUCCCCACCCAUUCCCUUUAUAACUCCCACAAGUCUGGAACUUUGCUGAUGAGCGCGCAUGUGUUUUAUAAGCAAAAAGAGAGUGCGAGCGGGAGAGAGCACGCGAGAGAGCCGCAACGAGCAGCACCCGAACGAAUGAGAAAUCAAAACAAAUUGCAAAAGAAUAGAGAUUUUCUGCCUGCCUGCUUGUGUAUAUGUUUUGACGAGCGUGUACCUAGCGUAUGCGCACCGUACAAAUAAAAAUAUACAAAAAUUA
rnacentral:sRNA from 1 species